rnacentral:lncRNA from 1 species
GGGGAAUCCAAUCAGGAGCAGUGAAAGAUAUGCAAAUACCUUGAUGAUUUGCUCUUAUAAGGACUCAUCACUUCUCAAAAAACUUCCAAAUACACCUAAAAUGAGUUAUUCUUAAGAAGGAGAAUGAGGAUCCAACCCUUUAACUGAGAUCAAGAUCUAUUCCUGAGCAUCAAUGAGAGAAGACUGGACCAUGUGGGAACAGCUUAGAGUGAAGCCAACUCCCCAGCUUAGGAGACCAAGUGAGGAAUGCAACACUAGGAUUCUUGACCAGAUUUCUACUAAAGCAAAGACUUAAGAACAGAACUGCAUGCUCCACAAGUAAACCCCAA